rnacentral:rRNA from 1 species
AUUGAACGCUGGCGGCAGGCCUAACACAUGCAAGUCGAACGAGUGGCGGACGGGUGAGUAAUGUCUGGGAAACUGCCUGAUGGAGGGGGAUAACUACUGGAAACGGUAGCUAAUACCGCCUACCAUCCUAUGUGCCCAGAUGGGAUUAGCUAGUAGGUGGGGUAAAGGCUCACCUGGGCCACGAUCCCUAGCUGGUCUGAGAGGAUGACCAGCCACACUGGAACUGAGACACGGUCCAGACUCCUACGGUAGGCAGCAGUGGGGAAUAUUGCACAAUGGGCGCAAGCCUGAUGCAGCCAUGCCGCGUGUAUGAAGAAGGCCUUCGGGUUGUAAAGCACUUUCAGCGAGGAGGCGUUACCCGCAGAAGAAGCACCGGCUAACUCCGUGCCAGCAGCCGCGGUAAUUC